rnacentral:rRNA from 1 species
GACGAACGCUGGCGGCGUGCUUAACACAUGCAAGUCGAACGGAAAGGCCCUGCUUGCAGGGUAUUCUCGUGGCGAACGGGUGUGUAUCACGUGGGUGUUCUGCCCUCCACUCUGGGAUAAGCCUGGGAGACUGUGUCUAUUACCCGAUAGGAGCCCUCUUUAUUGUUAUUGUUGGAAAGUUUUUUUGGUGUGGGAUGGGAUCGCGGGCUAUUAAGUUGUUGGUGGGGUAAUGGCCUACCAAGGCGGCCGCGGGUAGCCGGCCUGAGAGGGUGGACGGCCACAUUGGGGAUGGGGAACGGCCCAGACUCCGACGGGAGGGAGGAGGGGGGAAAAUUGGAAAAUGGGGGCAAGCCUGAUGCAGCGACGCCGCGGGGGGGAUGACGGGCUUCGGGUUGUAAACUCCUUUCGCUAGGGACGAAGCUUUUUGUGACGGUACCUAGAUAAGAAGCACCGGCUAACUACGUG